rnacentral:rRNA from 1 species
GCUUACGGCCACACCUCCCUGAGCACGCCCGAUCUUGUCUGAUCUCGGAAGCUAAGCAGGGUCGGCCCGGUUAGUACUUGGAUGGAGACCGCCUGGGAAUACCAGGUGCUGUAAGCC